UGACCCUUUUUUAAUUAAUUACUCUUUAUAAAAAUGUUCUUAAGAAUGUAAAAAAAAACCCCUUAUAAAAAUAACUUUUAACAAUGGAUCUCUUGGCUCUCACAUCGAUGAAGAACACAGUGAAAUGUGAUAAGUAAUGUGAAUUGCAGAAUUCAGUGAAUCAUCAAAUCUUUGAACGCACCUUGCACCUUUUGGUAUUCCAAAAGGUACACCUGUUUGAGUGUCAUGAAACCCUCUCAUUCCAAUUCUUAUA
rnacentral:rRNA from 1 species